GGGCCCUGAGCUGAGGUUAGCGCAGCCUCUGGGGCCCAGGCUGGGCCAGUGAAUCAUUUCUGACUGGUUUUAGGUGAAUAGGACAGUUCUAUCUUGCACCUGAGCUAUUUGUCUCUCCUCGUCACAGUUCAGGGUUUUGGCCCCAAACAGCGGCACAUGACAAAGGGAUUUCCGGGGGUGGUUUAUGGGACUUUUGCUGAAAUAGUUGAGUGAACUUCACCUGCAGCCCACAGGGAGCCGACCCAUUCCUCUGAGCUCUGUUUCUGUGGGGCCUGUUCUAAACCAGGGGCGGGGCCUGGGCCUCAUCCAGGCAGGAAAGACCACCUGUGUCCUUCCAGCAGUGGGCCUGAGCUCCCACCCUGGGCCCUGCAUGCUCGAUCAUCACUGAUCACUCGGCAAGGACAUGCCCCCUCCUCCAGGAAGCCGUCCAUCUCUCCCUGUAUGGUCCCGAGUAAUGGGAUGCAGGGAGCAUGGAAGCCCAACUCUGUUGCCUGGGGUUUCAACAACCCGGAGAUGUAACUACCAAGAGCCCCCCACAGAAUCAGACCGAAGCCCCCCUCUGUGGGACUCAGCCAGAAAUGGGGUCGCUUGUGCUCCCCUCCCCUCUCCUGCUUCUCGCUCCUUUCCUGGCCUGUCCUGGGAGCACCUCCUGAGUGACUCACUUGCACAGGAAUCUAAGCCUGCUUCCGGGGCACCGACCAGGACAAAAUUCCAUGCUUUCCUCCUGCAGGUAGUUAGCUGGUCUUCACCACCCACCUCAGCAGCUCCACUACACUCUAGAAUGAAGCCUGCCAGGCCCCACCAACCUCUUGUUCUGCAGGAAAGUUCCCAGAGGAAACGCCCCCACCCCGCCGCCCCACAGCCCCUAGUUGGUUCCCUCCCCCUCCCUGGGAGGCGGUGCUCCCCUCCGCCCCGCCCUGCUGCACCUGCAGUCCAGCCUGCCCUUGCAGUUGUGCUGCCCCCACCUCACAGCCUCCCUGGGCCUCGGUGGGUCCAUCUGCCUAGUGGUGUGCAGGGCACUGGACCGGGGUGAGCACUGCUGCUCUGGUCCUGAAUCCCAGCCCCCUGCCCCACCCCCCCAAACUGAAAUAUCUGAGGAAAGAGGAGCCAACUCGUUUAAGAACGAACAGUUGUUCCUCGCUCACAGAACCAUAUACUCUGGCUGUUACAGCUCAUUACUAAAUCUCAGCCGUGCCCUGAGAAGGAUUAAGGAACCGGCUCUGGUGAAAAUCCCUAGCAGAAAUAACGUGCUCCCGCCACAGGGAGCCCUGGAAAUUUGACUGCGGUAAUCCUGGUAAUCCUCUCCUGGCCCUCGCAUUCCGGUGUCUGCACACCAACAGGGUCGGCCGCUUGUGGGCGCUCGCCUCUGCCCGGUUGGCAAAAAGAGGCCCCAAGGCGAGGCGGCAGCCUCCCGACGCAGGCGCAGCACUUCGGGACGCAGGGUUGCUGGGGGAGCUUCCUUAGGUGGACUUGCUGGCGGAAGGAACCUGAGUCCAGACGGCCAGAGGCCUCGCUGCUCUGCCCGGAGCCUGCCGGUGACUCAGGCAGGAGUGAAAUGAACUCCCGUAUGUGAGGGGCUUGGCACGGCUCCAACACUCACUCCCUUUCUUCGGGGCCUCUUCCCCUCCUCCUGUGUCUGGCCUCCUGCUGGGCAUCUUCCACCGCCCACCUCAGCUGCUCCUGUUUUCUUCUCCUCCCUCUGGGCACACACCCGUGCCUUCAGCCUCCAGCCCUUUGCUGAUGCUGUUCGUUCUGCCAGAAAUGCCUGUUCUCCUUCUCUCAUUCCCACCACUCCCAAUCCUGUCACCUGCACUGUUCAUCAGCUCAAAUGCCACCUCCUCCAGGAAGCUGCUUCUCCAAGGAGCUCUGUGCCCUAGACAAGAACACAGAUGACCGGGCCACCACAAGGGGCUGCUCUCUACCCACAGUGGCUUCCUGUUCCUUGUCCAGGUCCGACUCAAGCCCGUAGAGCAUUUUUCUCCCCCGCUCCGCAGUUCAGGAGAGUGCCCACUAGGUGGUGACAAAGUGACAUUCCCAGCGGGGAUGAU